GUCUACGGCCAUGCUACCCUGAACAAGCCUGAUCCUGUCUUGGAAGCUAAGCAAGGUCGGGCCUGGUUAGUACUUGGACGGGAGGCCACCUACGAAGACCAGGUGCUUAGGUG
rnacentral:rRNA from 1 species